rnacentral:rRNA from 1 species
CCGGAGGAAGGUGGGGACGACGUCAAGUCAUCAUGGCCCUUACGAGUAGGGCUACACACGUGCUACAAUGGCGCAUACAGAGGGCGGCCAACUUGCGAAAGUGAGCGAAUCCCAAAAAGUGCGUCGUAGUCCGGAUUGGAGUCUGCAACUCGACUCCAUGAAGUCGGAAUCGCUAGUAAUCGUGGAUCAGAAUGCCACGGUGAAUACGUUCCCGGGCCUUGUACACACCGCCCGUCACACCAUGGGAG